UGAGUCCUACGGGGCGCAGCAGUGGGGAAUAUUGCACAAUGGGGGAAACCCUGAUGCAGCGACGCCGCGUGAGCGAUGAAGUAUUUCGGUAUGUAAAGCUCUAUCAGCAGGGAAGAAAAUGACGGUACCUGACUAAGAAGCCCCGGCUAACUACGUGCCAGCAGCCGCGGUAAUACGUAGGGGGCAAGCGUUAUCCGGAUUUACUGGGUGUAAAGGGAGCGUAGACGGCCAUUCAAGCCAGAUGUGAAAGCCCGGGGCUCAACCCCGGGACUGCAUUUGGAACUGUAUUGCUGGAGUGUCGGAGG
rnacentral:rRNA from 1 species